UGGGAAGUGGAAUACGUAUGUAAAAGUUGAGUUUAAUUUACAUGUCACAACACUUCCCAGACGAACGUUGCUUUCUGAUGACCGCAGUUAAAUACAGCUUUCAACUGGGGACAGAUACGGAGCAAACAACU